GUUCGGUAGUAGAAUCGGUUUCAUACAAAUAUCAUCCCUGAUUUUCUAGCGACCCCUAUUUUCGAUCUGAGUACUUCUGAAAUGCAAACGAUAAGAAAUCAUCUCUGUUUUUUGUUCGACAGACAUUUUCGCAGCUAGCUCUACCCAGAUCGAAUGAAUACCGACUAUAUGUAAGAUAUUAAUUUUAAAUUGUAUACUCGGUACUUCUUAUAUAAAUUAUAAUGAGACUUGUUGAUGGCAUAUAAUACAACAAACACAACACAAAUGAAUAUUUCUUUUUUGUGGGUUUCAGACUAGUUGGGUAUUGCAGUAUAGUGGAAAACGACUAUUAGAGAUGGUGCAAAUGGUCUGGCUAGACUGACUCACGUUAUUCAUAAUACUGUAAGUUAACACGGAGCGUGAGCUAGUGCAUGAAGUAACUAUAUAAGGAGGUCUCGUCGGCAAAGGUAAGCAGAACGUGCGAGUGAAAAGUGCUAGUGAAGGGGCACUCGCUUUAAGAGUGACGGUAACGACAAUGGAGUGUGGCAAAUAAUCAUUUGAAUGGCAAAGGCAUUUAUCUUGAAAAAACUUAAUAUUU
rnacentral:lncRNA from 1 species